AUGCUACUUCAUCAUCCUUUGGACUUGUGCGAUAUUGAUUUUGGAGAAAACAAAAGAUACCAAGUCAUAUACUUAGCAAAUAUGGCUUUGAGGAUGAAUCAGGAAGAUGAAAAAGAAAGGGUCUACAAGCAGACAAGCAGUGACCAUGGGAACAGAGGAAAGCAUAAAAAGUCCCAACUAAGAUUAGAGGCUGAGGUUAUUAUUUUCUCUUAUUUUCUGGCACAAUAUCCUUGGCAGACAAACAAGAGCCAACUUCAGUGUUUAGUUGAUCUUUUUGUCUUGCACGAUUUCUGGGCUCAUUGA
rnacentral:rRNA from 1 species